UGACCAGUCCAUGGUCGAAGCCGUAAGAUCAAGCCAAUAGUGACCGUGCGGUGCCUACGGGAACACGUUUCGGUUCGUCAGUUUCGUUAGCGGGUACGUUCCCUAAUACAGUAGUACGUGGAAACAAAAGGAAAAAAAGAGAAGUAGUACAAAGGGAGUCUCCAUCUUUGUUUAUUCAGUCGGGUAGUCGUCUAGCUAGGUCGAGUGGAAAGGAAAUAACGAAAGAGGAAGAACAAGAAAAAGAAAAAGAAGAAGAAGAAGAAGAAGGGUCUUUCGAUUAUCAUCGUCUCAUAGUCGUCAUAAUCGUCGACUACUUACUUAUAUUAUCCAUUUAUUUCGAUCUUUAACCAAUUUUAAGAAGCUAAAGGAAAACUGCAACUCUUCUUCAGCAAUACCAGUAUUCAGCGGCGAGAAUCGCGCAGCAGGACUAGCACCAGCAGCAGAGAAGAGAAAAGUUGCCGAGGGGAGGGGAGGGCCAGGAAGCUAAUCCUCGACGAAGACGUCGGGAACGAGCAAGCGGCUCAUUUUUCGAAGGAGACCCCUUGUCAUCGUGGGUGAGGAAACGUGACGAGGAACGCCAUGCCGGCAGGUAUUGGCGCUUCGUACAGGUCCUUAGGCGACCUGGGCGAAGACGUUUACAAAAGCACGACGAUCGUUGACCAGACCCAGAGCACCGGCCAAAGCGUUCUCGAGAGCGUCAAGAAGGCUUUCAGCUUCGCUUCCCCUAAAGUGGAGAUCAGGAAAAAGGAUCCAUUGAUCGAGGAUCGACGAGAGAGCGUAUCGAUCGUAUCAAGGGACAGAAACAAGAUGCCGACCGCCGCCACCGCCGAGAAAACUGCACUUUUGGGCACGAUGCCUUCGUGCAUGCGAGAUAGUAUGGACGAUAUCGAGCUGAAGAAUAUUCAGUUACAAUUUCCGGCCCUGAGGUAUUUGUCGAGAGACGAUAGUUCUGUACGAGAGGAAAGAGUAGAACUGGACAAAGGUAGUCUGCUAGUUGCCGUACAAGGAAACCAGGCGAAACCAGCGAUCCUUACUUAUCACGAUUUAGGCCUUAAUUAUAUCUCGAGCUUCCAGGCGUUCUUCAAUUACAUCGACAUGCGUGUUCUCCUUGAAAAUUUUUGCGUUUAUCACGUCAAUGCCCCUGGCCAAGAAGAAAAUGCCCCGGCGCUUCCGGAGGAUUACAUUUAUCCGUCCAUGGAGGAGUUAGCAGAACAGCUGCUUUUCGUUCUUGGUCAUUUCGGCUUAAGAUCUGUCAUUGGUUUUGGAGUUGGUGCGGGUGCCAAUAUAUUGGCUAGAUUUGCACUUGCACAUCCAGAAAAAGUCAAUKCACUUUGCCUGAUCAAUUGCGUAUCUACGCAAGCAGGAUGGAUCGAAUGGGGUUACCAGAAGCUCAACGUUCGUCAUCUGAGGUCACAAGGAAUGACGCAAAGCGUCCUUGAUUAUCUGAUGUGGCAUCAUUUUGGCAGGGGUACGGAAGAAAGAAACCACGAUCUCGUUCAAGUGUACAAGAAUUAUUUCGAACAUCGCGUUAAUCCAAUAAACCUGGCAUUGUUCAUCGACAGUUAUCUGCGACGUACUGAUUUGAACAUCACCAGAGAACUGGAUCCUACUCGCAAGAAGGAAGGUCUUACGCUUAGCGUACCAGUCAUGAACAUCACUGGUGCUCUGAGUCCGCACGUGGACGAUACGGUUACGUUAAAUGGACGGUUAGAUCCAACGAACAGCACCUGGAUGAAGAUCUCCGAUUGCGGUAUGGUCCUCGAGGAACAACCGGGCAAAGUAAGCGAGGCCUUUCGACUGUUUCUUCAAGGCGAAGGAUAUGCGGUGAGAUCCUCGCGGAAGCCCAUGACGCCGACAACACCCGAAGGUAAUUGUAAUUAGGAAUUGAAGGCCGCAAGGAGUCGAGUGCGCAGUUGGUCAAUUAGGCCACAUCUAUGUGUUAAUGGCCCCACUUUCGCCAUUGAAGAUGGCCGACUAUAGAUUGGCUUCUCUGGAAGGACUGAAUCAUGUUUGCAGCAAGAAAAUCGAUUGGCCUACAGCGACUAUACACAUCACCGAGAAUCCUAUAUCGGAAGCGGUUGUUUGUUAAAUGUUUCUCGAUGAAUCUCAACCACCACCCCUAUUGAAUUUUUUUUCAUUAUAAGACUUACCUAAUCGGCGAUAGAUCAGACGACACGACGACUAUAGAUAAUUUCAAGGUUUCGUCGGAGCAACGAUCGUCGUAACAUUCGUUUUAAUUUACCUUCGAGCCGAUAUCGCAUAUAUUUUUAACUCUCUUCGGCUGCGAUUUCAGUUCAGUUACAUUUUAUUAUUACUCUUUCCUUUGCUUUCGCUUUUAUAUUCUUACCUUCUUGAUUUUUUCUAAAUUAUUAUCUUAUAUUAGGAAAAUUACUUGAUAUAACUGUGAUGCGAAACUGCGUUGUUUAACAAAAUAAAGAAAGACGCAAAACAGAUAAAAUAAAGAGAAAGAAAAAGAAAGA